GAUCCUGGCUCAGGAUGAACGCUAGCUACAGGCUUAACACAUGCAAGUCGAGGGGCAGCAUGGGGUAGCAAUACUCAGAUGGCGACCGGCGCACGGGUGAGUAACACGUAUCCAACCUGCCGCUUACUCGGGGAUAGCCUUUCGAAAGAAAGAUUAAUACCCGAUGGUAUAAAGAGUUCGCAUGUUCUCUUUAUUAAAGAAUUUCGGUAAGCGAUGGGGAUGCGUUCCAUUAGAUAGUUGGCGGGGUAACGGCCCACCAAGUCUACGAUGGAUAGGGGGUUCUGAGAGGAAGGUCCCCCACAUUGGAACUGAGACACGGUCCAAACUCCUACGGGAGGCAGCAGUGAGGAAUAUUGGUCAAUGGACGAGAGUCUGAACCAGCCAAAGUAGCGUGAAGGAUGACUGCCCUAUGGGUUGUAAACUUCUUUUAUAAGGGAAUAAAGUGAGGGACGUGUCCCUUUUUGUAUGUACCUUAUGAAUAAGGAUCGGCUAACUCCGUGCCAGCCGCCGC
rnacentral:rRNA from 1 species